GAACGGUCGCCGCGUCGCCUCAGCACGGACCUCCAGGGAGCUCCUCAGCAAGAUCCUGCCAGGGCGCCCCUCAGCGCGAUUCUGCCGGGGUGCCUCUCAGCGUGGUCCUCCCCGGGGCUCCUCAGCACGAUUCUCCCGGUGCGCCCCUCAGCGCGGUCCUCCUCGCGCGGCACUCUCCCCGGGGGCUCCUCAGCGCGGCACUCUCCCGGCGGCUCCUCAGUGCGGUUCUCCCAGACUCUCCUCAGCGCGGCCCUCCCCAUCUCUCUGGGAGGGUUUGAACACGGUCAGCACGGACCUGGGCGGACGGCGCGGGACGGGUGAUCACUGGCGUUGCUGAGGUGAGCUGUGUGCCCCGCGGCCGUCCCAGAUCACAGGCGUCAGCAGUGCAGCCUGGCCUGGGCAGUGCGCUCCCAUCUGCACCUUAUGGACAGCGUGGCCAGGGUCGAGGUCCGAGUUCCUGGCCGCGUCCCAAGGAUCGGAUUCCGGGUCUAUAGUUCUCAUGGUGGUUCAGAGUGGGCUGAAUUGGGAUUGGAGUCUGGAAUCCGCAUCGUGGUUCUGAGUCCGCGCUAUUGGGAUGGAAGUUGGGAAUCCAUGUUGUGGUUUUGAGUCAAAGCCCGAAUUGGGACCGGAGUCGGAAAUCCACUUAGUGGUUCUGAGUCAGGGCCCGAAUUAGGAUCGGAGGUGGGAAUCCCCGUUGUGGUUCUGAGUUAGGUAUCCUAGUUGGGAUCAGAAUUCGGGUCUAGGGUCCACAUCCUGGCUGGGAGUUUGCCUGAGUUGGGAUCUGAGUAGUUGGGGUCCCAGUCAGUCCGGGUCUGGAGUCCGCAUGGUGGUUUUAGGUAGGGCCUCAUUAGGGACAGAGGAUCGGGAGUCUGAGUUGGGGACCUGAAUCCCGGUCUGGAGUCUGCAUCAUGGCUCUGAGUUGAGAUCCAAGGGAGGUCCGAGUUGGCGACUGGAGUCAGGGUCUGGAGUCUGUCUUUGGGUAGAGGUUCUGAAUGGGGGGCUCUGAGUUAAGAGAUUGGGAUUGGGGUUAGAGGUCUCAGUGGGGUAUGGGAGUCAGGAAUUGAAGUCGAAGUUCUGCCUCUAGGUGGGGAUUCUGAGUCAGGAAUUAGGGGGCGAAGUAAAGGUUGCAGUCUGAGUUGGGGGUGGUGAUCACCUGCCAGGUGAGAGGUAGUGGUAGAAGUCUCUUGGUCAUAUUGGAGAUGAGAGUUGAUCAGAUGCAGGUCUCAGUCUGGGUAGUAGGCUUGAAGGGCCACCACUAUGUUCAGAUCCCAGUACCCCACUGUGGUCCCUGAGCAGGUCAAAUAGCCUUUUAUAUAAAAUUGAGAGUAAGAGUGCCUUCCCACAGCACUGUUCUGGUUAUGAAAGAGAAUAAUUCAUCCAGGUAGAAUAGUUCUGUCUUAGAUUAUCACAAAGUAUAAAAACUUUCCUGAUAAUAUCCACAUUUGAUGUGCAUUUACCAGUUCUUUCUUUACUGUGGUGCCCCUUUUGCUAGACCAAAAGCUCCCAACGAGGAACUCUGUUUUGUUUUCUGCUGCCUGCUCUGUACCCAGCCAAGAGCCUGAUACACAGCCUUACUCAGUCAGUACUUGAAGGAAAGCAGGCAGGCAGGAUUAACCAGAUUUCUAUGGUGUCUCAAAUGAUCCAUUUCUGCACCUGUUUUCCAGAUACUCAGUAGGAGAAAAAUUUAAGGAUUGAGUUGCUUGAUUAUGGGUGUAUUUUAAUGUGUUUCCUAACAUGCUGAGGAGAAAAGUGGGUCUGUUUCAGGAUUUAUGCUCCAGCUAGAGGGAUUUUUUAAAAUUGCGAAUCAGAGCAUGUCCAAAUUCAGAUAGAAAGCACAAGAAAACUAUAAAGAAUUUCCCUUAUGAAUGUAGAUGCAGAAGUUCCUUGUACAAUGCUAGCUAACUGAAUCCAAUAAUAUGUAUUAAACAACAAUUCUUAAACAAGUGGGAUUGCUCUUAGGAAUGCAAAGAUGAUCCAAUAUCAGAAACUUUAUCCAUGUAAUUCACAUUAAGAGGCUACAGGAGAAAAACCAUAUGGUUCCCUCAAUAGAGGCAGAAAAAAAUGAUGUGAUAAAGUUUAACGCCUAUGUGUGAUUUUGGGGUAGUGGAGUACACCACUUAGCAAGCCAGGACUAGAGAGGAACUUCUUCAACUUGAUACAAGUUAUAAACCAAAACUUAACUUUUCAGUAAACUUGAUAGAGAAAUUAAAAGUGUAUCAUUCUCUUUAAGAUAAGGAGUAGGCCAAGGAUGUCAUCCUGGCCAUACCCUAAUACAAGAAAAAGAAAUGGGGAUGUGAGGAUCAGGUAGGAAGUGAUAAAACUUAGUGUAGCUCAUAGGGUUGAUGGUCUCCAUAAAGAUUCUCAAACAUUUUGGUGUUACGACUUGUUGUAUUCUUAAAAGUUAUUGAAACCCCCAAAGGGCUUUUCUUGAUAGAGAUUCUAUCUGUUGAUAGUUACCAUCUUAGAAGUUAAAACUAAGAAAUGUUUAAAGCAGAACUAUACAAGCACAUAUUCCACUGGGGUCAUGGUGUGCUGCCUCUGGAAAACUCUUUAUCUUUGUGAGAAUGAAAGAAAAGGCAAAUAAUGUCGAGUAUUAUUAUGAAAAUGUUUUUGACCUUUCCUGAAAGGGUCUGGGGGGCUCUCUGGAAUCCCCAGACUACACUUUGAAAAUUACUGGGCUACAUGGAAAAAAAAAAUUAAGGAACUUAACAACUAAAGAGAGAUUUCAGAUUUCAGAGAGGUUUUGGAUAUAAGAUCAGUGUACUCAAAACAAAAAACAAAAACAAACCACAUUUCUUUAUGCCAAUAGCAACUGACUAAAAAAAAGCAUAAUAGAGAUUAGGACAGCAAUCAGAAUAGCAGCAAAAUUUAUACCAGUCUAGGAAUUAACAAAGACGACGACUUUUAUGGAAAAAAUUUUAAAACUCUAUUGGAGGAUAUAGAGGGAGAUCUUUCCAUAUGCAGAGACAUUUUAUUUUCUUGAACAGGGCAACUUGGCAUUAGAAUGACGUCAGGAUUUUCCAAAUCUGUUAAGUUCAACAGGACUCCACUCAAACUUCCAGUUGGAGGGCUUGAGUAAUUUAACAAACAUAUUCUAAAAUGUAUGUGGAAGAAAAAUAUUUGUAAAUGCCAACUGAACUUUUGAAAAGGAGAGCAGAGGACUUCUGCUGGCAGAUACCAGGGCACACGCCAACUUCAGCAAUCAGAGCGGUGUGGUGACAGAGGCCCAGAAGAGAGCUCAGAGGUAACUCCAAGUCUAGAGGAAGGGGACAUGUGAUAAAGGUGGCACCACAUAUCAGUGGGGACUGUUCAGAAGAUGAUGUUGGAAAGCCAGCCCUAAAAUGGAGGAAUAGGAAUAUGGAUUCCUAACUGAGCCCCUAGGAAAAGUAGACUCCAAAUGGACUAAAUAUUUGAAAGCAAAAGGUAGUUGCCAUUUGUUUAAUAGGAGAAAAAAUGAAUAAUCUCCAGGGCCAGGGUGGCCGUGGGGUUCUUAAACAGGAUCCAGAAAGCACAAACCUCAAGACUAAAAUGUAUGAACUUGAAUGCAUUAAUGAUUAUGGAUUAAGGAUUUCUGUUAAAUAAAUCCAUCAUGGCAAGGGUCAAGACUGUUUUCAUAAUAAUACUAAGGAAACAAUUUGCGUUUUUCACUUUUACACUCAUGAAUGUAACUUUGCCAUGACUCAUUACAAGAUAUUUGAAACAAUUAAAGCUGAGGAGGGAACAACAGCUAAAAUAUACCAGAAAGCACCACAAAUCAUUAAGAAAAAGGUAGGAAGAUUGCCAGUUUGCAGGAGGGUUAACAAACAGAUGAAAAUUUGCCCAAGCUAAUCAGUUAUCAGAGAAAUGUAAAUGAAAGCAACAGCUAUUCUUCAUAGGAGAAGCAUUAGAAAGUAGGAUAAGGCCAAGUGUUGGCAGAAGGCAAGGAACAAGCCUCCCUGUGUGCUGCAGGUGGGGACGGAGACAGGCACAGACGUUCUGAAGAGCUGGCCAACACUUCUUCCUCAAAUAAAAUAUUUUAUACCUGUGGCCCAGCAGUUUCCCUCCUAAGUAAACAUGCUGGAGCAGUUCUCACCCAGAACAACGAGAGGCUGUGUGUGUGCAUGCUCAGGGCAGCAUGGCCCAUAGGGGUGGGCAGUUGGAGCUGGUCACUGUGGUUAGGAGCAGGGGACUAGAUGUACACUUCACAAGAUAGAGACGCGUGGAAACACAGUGCUGAGUGACACAAAUGCCAAACAGAAAGAGGGCCUCAGUACAUGACUGUGUAUUUAAAUUAAAAUUACACACCACCCAGACACGCAGUACUAGGGAGUGCUCGUGAGUGCACACACACACACACAAUGAUAUAAAUAAAUUACCCUGGAGAAGCUGUUUGUGUAGGGAGGAGAGCAAGGAUAGAGGCUAGAGAUGAAGUGGAAAAGCAUGGAGAGGAAGAGAGCGGUGACUUUAUGCAGACCCUUACAGGGUGACAGUGUUUCAUAGGCUGAGGGCUGUGAUCAACUCUGUGCAGAGUCCCAAAAGCCAAGAACCAACGAAUGAAUGUGCCUCCAUGACUCUCCUGCCAGAUACCCUCUAGUGGCUUCUAUUUCUAGGAAAUAAAAUUCAAAUUCCAUCAGGUUUUUACAAGAUCUGCCCUGCUUACCUCUCUGACCACUGUCCUCCCUCACUGAGCUUUGGCUCUGCCAGCCUUCUUCUUCUUUGUUAAAUCUGCCAAGUAUCCCUCCUGCCCCAAGGCCUUCACCACCUCUGCCUGGCUUGUCUUUUCUGGUGAUCUUCCCUUGACAAUUCCUUCUUCUUAUUUAAAUCUCACAGGAAAUUUUGCUCUGACCUGCCAUAUCUGUCAUCCCCUUCAGUCACUCACUAGCUGACGACUACCUUUCGAGUCUCUGCAAAGCACAGGCUACGCUUUUCUAGUUCCUUAGACAUCUACUUAUUUGUUGGCUGCCUAUCUCUUCCACCGGAAGAGAGGCCCCAAGAGAGCAUAUCUGUCUUCCGUAUAGGGUCCGCACAUGGUGGGUGUGUCACAGAUUUCUGUUGAAUGGUUUCAUUCAUUUAUUGAACGAAGGAAGAGGCCAGGCCAGGAAAGUGUGCCUCCAUUUUCACAACUCAGUGAGAAAGCAAAUAGCAUGUCAAAAUCUGACCCCUUGCAACCAGGGUUUCUUAGCCAGCCACACUGGUAAUGCUUGGGACAGGAUGUAUCUUUGUUGUGAGGGGCUGUCAUUUAUAUUGUAAGAUGUUUAGCACCCUGCCUGGUCUCUACCUAGUUGAUAUUAGUAAUUCUCCCAUAGUCAUGAUAGCCAAAAAUA
rnacentral:lncRNA from 1 species